GCCGGGUGUGGUGGUGUGCACCUGUAAUCCCAGGUAUUUAGGAGGCUGAGGCAGGAGAAUCGCUUGAACCCAGGAGGUAGAGGUUGCAGUGAGCUGAGAUCGUGCCACUGCACUCCAGCCUGUGUGACAGAGUGAUACUCUGUCUCAA
ensembl:misc_RNA Metazoa_SRP Metazoan signal recognition particle RNA